rnacentral:rRNA from 1 species
UUUAACUGAAGAGUUUGAUCAUGGCUCAGAUUGAACGCUGGCGGCAGGCUUAACACAUGCAAGUCGAGCGGAGAGAGGUAGCUUGCUACUGAUCUUAGCGGCGGACGGGUGAGUAAUGCUUAGGAAUCUGCCUAUUAGUGGGGGACAACAUUUCGAAAGGAAUGCUAAUACCGCAUACGUCCUACGGGAGAAAGCAGGGGAUCUUCGGACCUUGCGCUAAUAGAUGAGCCUAAGUCGGAUUAGCUAGUUGGUGGGGUAAAGGCCUACCAAGGCGACGAUCUGUAGCGGGUCUGAGAGGAUGAUCCGCCACACUGGGACUGAGACACGGCCCAGACUCCUACGGGAGGCAGCAGUG